rnacentral:tRNA from 1 species
GCGGGAAUGGUGGAAUGGCAGACACACCUGAUUUAGGAUCAGGGUUUUAAGAGUUCGAGUCCCUUUUUCCGUACCA